rnacentral:rRNA from 1 species
CCUACGGGGGGCAGCAGUGGGGAAUAUUGCACAAUGGGGGAAACCCUGAUGCAGCAACGCCGCGUGAGCGAAGAAGGCCUUCGGGUCGUAAAGCUCUGUCCUAAGGGAAGAAGCAUGACGGUACCUUAGGAGGAAGCCCCGGCUAACUACGUGCCAGCAGCCGCGGUAAUACGUAGGGGGCGAGCGUUAUCCGGAAUCACUGGGCGUAAAGGGUGCGUAGGCGGCCGAUUAAGCCAGGGGUGAAAGGCUACGGCUCAACCGUAGUAAGCCCUUGGAACUGAUGGGCUUGAGUGCAGGAGAGGAGGGUGGGAUUCCGGGUGUAGCGGUGAAAGGCGUAGAUAUUGGGAGGAACACGAGUGGCGAAGGGGACUCUAUGGACUGUAACUGACGCUGAGGAACGAAAGCGUGGGGAGCGAACAGGAUUAGAUAACCGAGUAGUC